rnacentral:lncRNA from 1 species
AUGGAGUCUGCGCGGAGUGCUUUCCACACUCAGCUGGCCGCCGUCAUGGACUCGCUGCUGGCCGCAGCUGUUUGCGAGAUCGCCAAGAUCUUCGAGAGCAGCCUCUGUCAACACCAGGCGGAGCUGACGCUGAAGGCGGAGGAGAUCUCAGCCCUCCGCUGCAAGCUGGAGAAAGUCGAGAGGAGGCAGAAGAUGGAGAGGGAGGUUGCAUCGGGCGAAAGGGAAGGAAACUGCAGACAUCAGACUCCCACAGCAUCAUCAUCAGACCCAGUUGAAAGACACGGCGAAAACCUCAACAAGUUGAAAAAAGAGGAGCUUGACCCGGAUGGAGUUGCCCUGAAACGUGAGUGUGUUGAAUCCCAGUAUAAGCUGGGAUCAGUGGCUGUCCAAGCUCCAGAAGAGGAACAUACUUUGACUGAUGUCCUUCCUGCCUCACAGCCUAGGAGCAAACGUUAGAAAACUUCUUUAGUUAACAUUUUUUCUCACAGUUGUUCCACACGUGUUACACACUUUGCAGACGUGUAACAGUAUGUGUGUAAACACACAUUUUUAAUAUAUUUUUAAUGCAAACAUUACAAAUCUUCCACUAUUGUUUUUGUCUAAAACCUUAGUUUUCUUUUUUUGCAGAUUUUUUUUGUUAAAUCUUAAGUCCUAGCAGC